CAGCCGCCGCGGGAAAACAGAGGGUGCGAGCGUUAAUCGGAUUUACUGGGCGUAAAGCGUGCGUAGGCGGCUUCUUAAGUCGGAUGUGAAAUCCCUGAGCUUAACUUAGGAAUUGCAUUCGAUACUGGGAAGCUAGAGUAUGGGAGAGGAUGGUAGAAUUCCAGGUGUAGCGGUGAAAUGCGUAGAGAUCUGGAGGAAUACCGAUGGCGAAGGCAGCCAUCUGGCCUAAUACUGACGCUGAGGUACGAAAGCAUGGGGAGCAAACAGGAUUAGAGACCCCGUAGUCCCUGUCUCUUAUACC
rnacentral:rRNA from 1 species